UACAGAGGUCUCAAGCGUUGUUCGGAUUCAUUGGGCGUAAAGGGUGCGUAGGCGGCGCGGUAAGUCGGGUGUGAAAGUCUCGGAGCUUAACUCCGAAACUGCAUUCGAUACUGCCGUGCUUGAGGACUGGAGAGGAGACUGGAAUUUACGGUGUAGCGGUGAAUGCGUAGAUAAUCGUAAGGAAGACCAGUGGCGAAGGCGGGUCUCUGGACAGGUUCCUGACGCUGAGGCACGAAGGUCAGGGGAGCAAACGGG
rnacentral:rRNA from 1 species